UGCUUGCACCUUUCAAGCGAGUGGCGAACGGGUGAGUAACACGUGGAUAACCUGCCUCAAGGCUGGGGAUAACAUUUGGAAACAGAUGCUAAUACCGAAUAAAACUUAGUAUCGCAUGAUACAAAGUUGAAAGGCGCUACGGCGUCACCUAGAGAUGGGUCCGCGGUGCAUUAGUUAGUUGGUGGGGUAAAGGCCUACCAAGACAAUGAUGCAUAGCCGAGUUGAGAGACUGAUCGGCCACAUUGGGACUGAGACACGGCCCAAACUCCUACGGGAGGCUGCAGUAGGGAAUCUUCCACAAUGGGCGAAAGCCUGAUGGAGCAACGCCGCGUGUGUGAUGAAGGCUUUAGGGUCGUAAAGCACUGUUGUAUGGGAAGAAAUGCUAGAAUAGGGAAUGAUUCUAGUUCGACGGUACCAUACCAGAAAGGGACGGCUAAAUACGUGCCAGCAGCCGCGGUAAUACGUAUGUCCCGAGCGUUAUCCGGAUUUAUUGGGCGUAAAGCGAGCGCAGACGGUUGAUUAAGUCUGAUGUGAAAGCCCGGAGCUCAACUCCGGAAUGGCAUUGGAAACUGGUUAACUUGAGUGUUGUAGAGGUAAGUGGAACUCCUUGGGUAAACGG
rnacentral:rRNA from 1 species